AAGACCUCGCGCUAUUAGAGCGGCCGAUGCCCGAUUAGCUAGUUGGUGAGGUAAUGGCCCACCAAGGCAACGAUCGGUAGCUGGUCUGAGAGGAUGAUCAGCCACACUGGGACUGAGACACGGCCCAGACUCCUACGGGAGGCAGCAGUGGGGAACUUUGGACAAUGGGCGAAAGCCUGAUCCAGCCAUGCCGCGUGAGUGAAGAAGGCCUUCGGGUUGUAAAGCUCUUUCAGCCGGAACGAAAUCGUCCGGGCUAAUACUCCGGAUGGAUGACGGUACUGGAAGAAGAAGCACCGGCUAACUACGUGCCAGCAGCCGCGGUAAUACGUAGGGUGCAGGCGUUAAUCGGAAUUACUGGGCGUAAAGCGUGCGCAGGCGGCUUUCCAAGUCAGAUGUGAAAUCCCCGGGCUUAACCUGGGAACU
rnacentral:rRNA from 1 species